UCCUGACUGACCGAUAGUGAACCAGUACCGUGAGGGAAAGGCGAAAAGAACCCCGGCGAGGGGAGUGAAAAAGAACCUGAAACCGUGUACGUACAAGCAGUGGGAGCACGCUUAGGCGUGUGACUGCGUACCUUUUGUAUAAUGGGUCAGCGACUUAUAUUCUGUAGCAAGGUUAACCGAAUAGGGGAGCCGAAGGGAAACCGAGUCUUAACUGGGCGUUAAGUUGCAGGGUAUAGACCCGAAACCCGGUGAUCUAGCCAUGGGCAGGUUGAAGGUUGGGUAACACUAACUGGAGGACCGAACCGACUAAUGUUGAAAAAUUAGCGGAUGACUUGUGGCUGGGGGUGAAAGGCCAAUCAAACCGGGAGAUAGCUGGUUCUCCCCGAAAGCUAUUUAGGUAGCGCCUCGUGAAUUCAUCUCCGGGGGUAGAGCACUGUUUCGGCAAGGGGGUCAUCCCGACUUACCAACCCGAUGCAAACUGCGAAUACCGGAGAAUGUUAUCACGGGAGACACACGGCGGGUGCUAACGUCCGUCGUGAAGAGGGAAACAACCCAGACCGCCAGCUAAGGUCCCAAAGUCAUGGUUAAGUGGGAAACGAUGUGGGAAGGCCCAGACAGCCAGGAUGUUGGCUU
rnacentral:rRNA from 1 species